ensembl:rRNA 5S_rRNA 5S ribosomal RNA
GGCUCCGGCCCUAUCAGCCUGAAGGCGCCCGAUCUCGUCUAAUCUCGGAAGCUAAGCAGGGUCGGGCCUGGUUAGUAUCUUGGAUGGGAGACCACCUGGAAAUCCCGGGUGCUCGAGGCU